AUGGAGGAAGGGAAAAGACAGAGGGGGAGUAAGAGAGUGAGGGAAGCAGAGUGGGGAGAAAGGGGGAAAGAGAGAAAGAUGGGAAGUCUGUAAUACAAGGACGCAACAGGCUUUCAACGACCUUCCACCUCCCCACCACCAACUGAAGGCCUGUCAUCGCAUCCCCGUUCUUCCAGCAUAGGGCAACUUGUCACCAGCAUCUGGCUCUGAGGAGUAUUCCACGGAGAUGAGGCUACCCCAAACUAUUCAAUAAAACUCCAUAUUGUA